rnacentral:lncRNA from 1 species
CGACCGGGGGGCGGUUGGGGUUCACCGCCUCGUGCCGUACUGGCUUCUGGGUGGCCCUUAAUGUCUUGUGCUCUAAGGUGCUGAGGGGAAAGACGCGGGAGGUCUCUGGCCUGACACUAUGAAGGAAGAGAGAAACUACAACUUCGACGGUGUGAGCACCAACCGCCUGAAACAGCAGUUGCUGGAAGAAGUCCGCAAGAAUGAAUGGAAAACCCGUUAUGAGACACAACUUGAAUUAAAUGAUGAACUAGAAAAGCAAAUUGUUUAUCUCAAGGAGAAAGUGGAAAAAAUCCAUGGAAACUCUUCAGACGUAUUUCAAAGAGAAGUUUGAAGACUAGCGCAAGGUCCAAAUAAACUGUUUUGUUCAAGGGAUCUGUUUGAAGGACAACAAAUAAUUUUUGAGUAGCUAUAGGUGGAGCACUAAGUUGCCAGCUAUAUUCACAGGUGUCCUGAAGAGCAGAGCAUGUAUAGAUAUUGCUUUUUGAAUCACCGCCAACCUUCAGAGAAAGAUAUAGACAAAUACUGUGUUUUUGCUAAUAAUGAAUUGAGGAGAAAUAAGUCCUUUUGCACGCUUGUUACUUUCAACCCAGACAUGCCUUUAUUUCCAUAUCUUGGAAAGUCAGGAAUUUUUCUAACUCGAAAAAUUGUUUUCCCAUGUGCUGUCAUAGAGUUAUAUCGCCCUCUUGUGGCAUUUAGAAAUAGUUGCUAGGGCUAUGUUAAGCUUAGUGCCUUUUCUUAAUUGCAGGUAGAAUUUUAUUACUACCUACUGGAUAUAAAAUAUUCUGUCUACCUGCUUCUUGAUAACUGAGGCUCAGUCCUAGCUCAACAGAGUGGGUAUCACCACCCUUGUGGAGAGUAGCAACAAGUGCUGGUAUGACUUAGUAAAA